GACGAACGCUGGCGGCGUGCCUAAUACAUGCAAGUCGAACGCUGAAGAGAGGAGCUUGCUCUUCUUGGAUGAGUUGCGAACGGGUGAGUAACGCGUAGGUAACCUGCCUUGUAGCGGGGGAUAACUAUUGGAAACGAUAGCUAAUACCGCAUAACAAUGGAUGACACAUGUCAUUUAUUUGAAAGGGGCAAUUGCUCCACUACAAGAUGGACCUGCGUUGUAUUAGCUAGUAGGUGAGGUAAUGGCUCACCUAGGCGACGAUACAUAGCCGACCUGGGAGGGUGAUCGGCCACACUGGGACUGAGACACGGCCCAGACUCCUACGGGAGGCAGCAGUAGGGAAUCUUCGGCAAUGGGGGCAACCCUGACCGAGCAACGCCGCGUGAGUGAAGAAGGUUUUCGGAUCGUAAAGCUCUGUUGUAAGUCAAGAACGGGUGUGAGAGUGGAAAGUUCACACUGUGACGGUAGCUUACCAGAAAAGGACGGCGAACUACGG
rnacentral:rRNA from 1 species